AGAGGGUGCGAGCGUUAAUCGGAAUUACUGGGCGUAAAGGGCGCGUAGGUGGUUUAUUAAGAUUAUUGUGAAAUCCCUGGGCUUAACCUAGGAACUGCAACGAUGACUGGUAGGCUUGAGUAUUGUAGAGGGUAGUGGAAUUUCCGGUGUAGCGGUGAAAUGCGUAGAGAUCGGAAGGAACACCAGUGGCGAAGGCGGCUACCUGGACAAAUACUGACACUGAGGCGCGAGAGCGUGGGGAGCAAACAGGAUUAGAUACCCUGGUAGUCCACGCUGUAAACGAUGAAGACUAGAUGUUGGCCAGCAUGACUGGUUAGUAUCGAAGCAAACGCGAUAAGUCUUCCGCCUGGGGAGUACGGCCGCAAGGUUA
rnacentral:rRNA from 1 species